CCUUUCCUUGUCUUAUCUGCCUAUAUACCGCCGUCGUCAGCUUACUCUGUGAAGAAUUUGUAGUAAGCAUAAUUGGCACAGCCCAAAACGCCAGGUCGAGGUGUAGCGAAUGGAAAGGGAAGAAAUGGGCUACAUUCAAUAUUAAUAAUGAAUACGAAUGAUACCUUGAAAAAGGUAUCUGAAGGAGGAUUUAGUAGUAAGCAAAGAAUAGAGCGCUAUGCUGAAACCGGCCCUGAAGCGCGUACACACCGCCCGUCACUCUCCCCGAGCUAACUUAACGAUAUUACUAAUAAGCAAUAACUGUAAAGGGGAGGCAAGUCGUAACAUGGUAAGUGUACCGGAAGGUGCGCUUGGAAAAA
rnacentral:rRNA from 1 species